rnacentral:rRNA from 1 species
GAUGAACGCUGGCGGCGUGCUUAACACAUGCAAGUCGAACGAAGUGGCGAACGGGUGAGUAACGCGUAAUCAACCUGCCCUUCAGGGGGGGACAACAGUUGGAAACGACUGCUAAUACCGCAUACUGAUGGAGGGGUUUGCGUCUGAUUGGCUAGUUGGAGGGGUAACGGCCGACCAAGGCGAAGAUCAGUAGCCGGGCUGGGGGGAAGAACGGCCACAAUGGGACUGAGGCACGGCCCAGACUCCUACGGGAGGCAAGAGGGGGGAAACUUCCGCAAUGGACGAAAGUCUGACGGAGCAAAUGCGCGGGAGAGGAGACGGCCUUCGGGUUGGAAAGCUCUGUUAAUCGGGACGCGGUACCGGAAUAGGAAGCCACGGCUAACUACGUGCCAGCAGCCGCGGUAAUAC